rnacentral:rRNA from 1 species
AAAUUGAAGAGUUUGAUCAUGGCUCAGAUUGAACGCUGGCGGCAGGCCUAACACAUGCAAGUCGAGCGGAAACGACACUAACAAUCCUUCGGGUGCGUUAAUGGGCGUCGAGCGGCG